rnacentral:rRNA from 1 species
UUAAUAUUCCUGAAACGAGGCGUGGAUAAUAUGUGGUAGCACAACCGACCCAGGAGACGCUAGCGCGUGCCCAGGGAAGAGCUCUCUUUUCUUUUAGCCAGCAUAUCCUACCUUCGAAAGGGAUUAUCCGGCGAUACGGAGGAUGCCUUGGUAAAGCACUUU